rnacentral:rRNA from 1 species
GACGAACGCUGGCGCCGUGCCUAAUACAUGCAAGUUGAGCGCUGAAGGUUGGUACUUGUACCAACUGGAUGAGCAGCGAACGGGUGAGUAACGCGUGGGGAAUCUGCCUUUGAGCGGGGGACAACAUUUGGAAACGAAUGCUAAUACCGCAUAAAAACUUUAAACACAAGUUUUAAGUUUGAAAGAUGCAAUUGCAUCACUCAAAGAUGAUCCCGCGUUGUAUUAGCUAGUUGGUGAGGUAAAGGCUCACCAAGGCGAUGAUACAUAGCCGACCUGAGAGGGUGAUCGGCCACAUUGGGACUGAGACACGGCCCAAACUCCUACGGGAGGCAGCAGUAGGGAAUCUUCGGCAAUGGACGAAAGUCUGACCGAGCAACGCCGCGUGAGUGAAGAAGGUUUUCGGAUCGUAAAACUCUGUUGGUAGAGAAGAACGUUGGUGAGAGUGGAAAGCUCAUCAAGUGACGGUAACUACCCAGAAAGGGACGGCUAACUACGUG